rnacentral:rRNA from 1 species
UCCCAGACUCCUACGGGAGGCAGCAGUGAGGAAUAUUGGUCAAUGGGCGCGAGCCUGAACCAGCCAAGUAGCGUGAAGGAUGACUGCCCUACGGGUUGUAAACUUCUUUUAUAAAGGAAUAAAGUGAGGCACGUGUGCCUUUUUGUAUGUAUUUUAUGAAUAAGGAUCGGCUAACUCCGUGCCAGCAGCCGCGGUAAUACGGAGGAUCCGAGCGUUAUCCGGAUUUAUUGGGUUUAAAGGGUGCGCAGGCGGCGAGUUACGUCGGGGGUAAAUUUCGGGGGCCCACCCCCGACAAGCCGUUGAAACUGGCUUGCUAGAGUGGGCGAGAAGUAUGCGGAAUGCGUGGUGUAGCGGUGAAAUGCAUAGAUAUCGCGCAGAACUCCGAUUGCGAAGGCAGCAUGCCGGCUCCACACUGACGCUGAGGCACGAAAGCGUGGGUAUCGAACAGGAUUAGAUACCCGCGUA